CACGUAGGGCGCAAGCGUUGUCCGGAAUUAUUGGGCGUAAAGAGCUCGUAGGCGGUCUGUCGCGUCGGCUGUGAAAACCCGGGGCUCAACCCCGGGCCUGCAGUCGAUACGGGCAGACUAGAGUGUGGUAGGGGGAGACUGGAAUUCCUGGUGUAGCGGUGAAAUGCGCAGAUAUCAGGAGGAACACCGGUGGCGAAGGCGGGUCUCUGGACAGUUCCUGACACUGAGGAGCGAAAGCGUGGGGAGCAAACAGG
rnacentral:rRNA from 1 species